rnacentral:lncRNA from 1 species
GCCUGUAGUGCAGUGGUUGUCUUUUGUUGCUGUGUUAUGUAUUUGCUUUUCAUUCAUUUUUUUCAACAUUUGAUAAUUAGGCUGUAAGUAUUCUUUUUUUACAUGUCAUUUCCAGGCCUUUUUAUGCUGACAAUGGGCUAUGGACUUUGCUCAUUGUUGAAGGCUGUAUGGUAACAUAUAGUUGUCUCAUUGUCAAUCAUAACACAUCUUUUUUUUUUAUAUUUAACAUAAAUUGACCUACACAAAGUAAUUUAAUUUCAACUUCAUCGUAACUAGAUCAGUGCUGCUACACAUUGUACAAGUCAAAGUUUUGUAGUUUGGUCAAUUAGAUAACCAUGACGAGGAGGAGUUACUAAUU